GACGAACGCUGGCGGCGUGCCCAAUACAUGCAAGUCGAGCGAAGUUUUUCUGGUGCUUGCACUAGAAAAACUUAGCGGCGAACGGGUGAGUAACACGUAAAGAACCUGCCUCAUAGACUGGGACAACUAUUGGAAACGAUAGCUAAUACCGGAUAACAGUAUUUCUCGCAUGGGAGAUAUUUAAAAGUUGGUUAUGCUAACACUAUGAGAUGGCUUUGCGGUGCAUUAGCUAGUUGGUGGGGUAAAGGCCUACCAAGGCGACGAUGCAUAGCCGACCUGAGAGGGUGAUCGGCCACACUGGGACUGAGACACGGCCCAGACUCCUACGGGAGGCAGCAGUAGGGAAUCUUCCGCAAUGGGCGAAAGCCUGACGGAGCAACGCCGCGUGAGUGAAGAAGGAUUUCGGUUCGUAAAGCUCUGUUGUUAGGGAAGAAUGGAUAUGUAGUAACUA
rnacentral:rRNA from 1 species